AGAGUUUGAUCAUGGCUCAGGAUGAACGCUAGCGGCAGGCCUAACACAUGCAAGUCGAGGGGCAGCAGGGGUAGCAAUACCCGCUGGCGACCGGCGCACGGGUGCGUAACGCGUAUGCAACCUGCCCUGCACCGGGGGAUAGCCCGCCGAAAGGCGGAUUAAUACCCCAUGUACCCGGUUGUCCGCAUGGGCAAGCGGGUAAAGCCGAGGCGGUGCGGGAUGGGCAUGCGUGCCAUUAGCUGGCUGGUGGGGUAACGGCCCACCAGGGCUACGAUGGCUAGGGGGUCUGAGAGGAUGGUCCCCCACACUGGUACUGAGACACGGACCAGACUCCUACGGGAGGCAGCAGUGAGGGGUAUUGGUCAAUGGGCGGAAGCCUGAACCAGCCAUGCCGCGUGCGGGAUGAAGGCCCUACGGGUUGUAAACCGCUUUUCCGGGGGAAGAAUAUGCCCGACGAGUCGGGCGAUGCCGGUACCCCGGGAAUAAGGAUCGGCUAACUCCGUGCCAGCAGCCGCGGUAAUACGGAGGAUCCGAGCGUUAUCCGGAUUUACUGGGUUUAAAGGGUGCGUAGGCGGCCCGGGCAAGUCAGCGGUGAAAUGAGGCGGCUCAACCGUUUCGCUGCCGUUGAUACUGCGGGGCUUGGAUACGGUCGGGGCGGGUGGAAUUCGUGGUGUAGCGGUGAAAUGCAUAGAUAUCACGAGGAACGCCGGUAGCGAAGGCAGCUCGCCGGGCCGAGAUCGACGCUGAGGCACGAAAGCGUGGGGAUCAAACAGGAUUAGAUACCCUGGUAGUCCACGCCGUAAACGAUGAUGGCUGGGUUUUCGUCCGUAAGGGCGAGGGCCUGAGGGAAACCAUUAAGCCAUCCACCUGGGGAGUACGGCCGCAAGGCUGAAACUUAAAGGAAUUGACGG
rnacentral:rRNA from 1 species